ACGAACGCUGGCGGCGUGCUUAACACAUGCAAGUCGAACGGAAAGGCCUGUCCUUCCUUGUGUUGGACGGGUACUCGAGUGGCGAACGGGUGAGUAACACGUGAGUGAUCUGCCCCCAACUUGGGUAUAAGCCUGGGAAACUGGGUCUAAUUCCCGAUAGGACUGCAGGGUGGUGCCUGUGGUGGAAAACGAUUUUCUAGUGGUUGGGGAUGAGCUCGCGGCCUAUCAGCUUGUUGGUGGGGUAAUGGCCUACCAAGGCGGCGACGGGUAGCCGGCCUGAGAGGGUGGACGGCCACAUUGGGACGGAGAUACGGCCCAGACUCCUACGGGAGGCAGCAGUGGGGAAUAUGGCACAAUGGGCGGAAGCCUGAUGCAGCGACGCCGCGUGGGGGAUGACGGCCUUCGGGUGGUAAACUCCUUUCGACCGCGAGGAAGCCGCCUGGUUGGAAGGGUGGUGACGGUAGUGGUAGAAGAAGCACUGGCUAACUACGUG
rnacentral:rRNA from 1 species